GCGCGAUUAGCUCAGUUGGUAGAGCACCUGACUCUUAAUCAGGGUGUCCAGGGUUCGA
rnacentral:tRNA from 1 species